rnacentral:rRNA from 1 species
GAGUUUGAUCUUGGCUCAGGAUGAACGCUAGCGGCAGGCUUAAUACAUGCAAGUCGAGGGGCAGCAUGAUGUAGCAAUACAUUGAUGGCGACCGGCAAACGGGUGCGGAACACGUACAGAACCUUCCUUCGAGCGGGGAAUAGCCCAGAGAAAUUUGGAUUAAUACCCCAUAGUAUAACGGAGAGGCAUCUCUUUGUUAUUAAAGAUUUAUCACUUGAAGAUGGCUGUGCGGCUGAUUAGGUAGUUGGCGGGGUAACGGCCCACCAAGCCUACGAUCAGUAACUGGUGUGAGAGCACGACCAGUCACACGGGCACUGAGACACGGGCCGACUCCUACGGGAGGCAGCAGUAAGGAAUAUUGGUCAAUGGACGAAAGUCUGAACCAGCCAUGCCGCGUGGAGGAUGAAGGUCCUCUGGAUUGUAAACUUCUUUUAUCUGGGACGAAAAAAGGCUUUUCUAAGUCGUCUGACGGUACCAGAUGAAUAAGCACC